GGGCUGCUCCCACACUCGUUGAAGCUUUAGUUCUCCCUUCUUUUUUCCUCCUUCUACAAGACAAGCUUGAAAAAAGCCGGUAGAAAUAAGAGAAGGAAGCUUUGGGUUACUGCCUACAACCUCACGCCUUCUGACGUGCCGACGACCACAACCCUCACACGAAGCUGUAAUGGCGGCCGCCCUCCACCAGGUGAGGCGACGAGGGAGCAGUUUUCCCGCCACCCGCGCCCUGAUUGGCUGCUCGGCAGCAGAGGCGCUUGCACGAGGGGAAAGGCGCCCACAGCGGCGACGGUAGCGCUGAAGGGGCUGCGAGGCUGAAAAGAGCACAAAACGGUAGCGGGGUGUCCUGUUCCUGGGAGAUGUUUUUUGGAUAGUUCUUAAAUGUCAGCGUAGCAGGCUUCCUUGAUAGCAGCUGGAUCAUGCAGCCACUCUCUACUGAGCAAGCUCACUUCUGCAGCUCUCCUGAAAAGUUUUACAAGGAGCAGCAAUUCACAGAAAAUAACGUUUGAGAUGAUGUCACAUAAGUGACAAAGGUUUGCAAUCUAGUCUUUUCUUAAUCUGGCCAGAGUACAAAGAAGGAGAGCUGUAACCUAUGAAUGCAGUUUACCACAGGAGCAGUUUUUGCUUGCUACUGAGCUAUUCACCAAGUCAGUACUUCUGGUAAGUAGUUCUGCCUUUUGGCAUGGACCUGUGCAGGGAGAGUCUGUAACAACAGUCUUCAGUGAUGAGCCAGUAUUCAGUCUGUGAACAUCCACAGUGCCCAGCAGAGAGACUUGCAUAGUUCUUUUAAUCCUUCUUGAUUGUAAUAAGCAACACCCUGUCUCAGAACUGAACUGCUAGCUUGUCAUAUUGCAGAAAGUCUGGAUAACAGAAACUUUCCAAAAAAAAUGACUAAAUUCUCUAAUGUUGCCAUAAAAUUCUUGUUCAGCAAAUUCCUGAGUGAAAUUUUCUAACUUACUGUGAAUAACCUAAAUAGGAUAAGAGCACUUUAAAGUUCUAGAUCUGCACGUACCACUUUUCUAGACAUUCAUAAUAACAAUGUACUUUAGCUUGAAUUUAUUUUACGAAAAAGAAGGAGAACAAAUUAUUCUUUAGUGCAAGGGUAUAAUGUGUUUUAAAUACAUAGUCUGCAAUGUGUGCAGAAAUCAAGAACGCCAUUUGUAAAGUUAAAUUGAAGCACACUAAAAGCAAAUAGUAAUUUUAUAGCUGCAUGAAUGAUAGCAAUUGAGUGACAGCAAUUAUCUGCUCCUGGCUUUAUUUCUUUAGAAAACUACAAUAAAUUCAUAUGGGAUAGAGGAGACCUGUUGAAAUUAAAACUGCGUUGUUCAGCAUAGGAUAGUAAGAAGCUUCAGCAUGGCUUGAACUAAUGCCAUGAGUUUGAGAUAUUUUGAUCUAGACAAAAUCUUCAUGGCAGCAUCAUCCCUAGGACGUGAUGUAGCAAAAGGCUUGUUAGGAGCUCGUUUUCUCCAUAUUCCUGUACAAUUCAAAUACUGUUUGUUCAUCUGUUCAUGCAUAUACCUGCUGAAAAUAUUUUUUUUUUUUUUUUUUGCAAAGAAGGAUUAUUUAAUUAUUAGAAAAGACUUCAGGCAUGUCAGUUUUGUGCGACUGGAGUUUAUUCAACUAAAAUCAUUCUGCUACUGUGAACAGGUUCCUCACCAGUCAGGUACAUUGACUUCUUUUAUUUCCUCAUUAUUCAGCUUUGCGCUGUGAUUCAACUUUCUAGCUUUUGCUUUUUGCUGAUUUAUACACUUGGAAUGUUAAAGAGAAAUACACCCUUUACGUUGAAAAUAUAAGUCAUAAAACCGCAUUGUCGGAAUAAAUCCACCAGCUUUUUAGCUAACUAGUAUUUUAUGAAGGGUGCAAUACUAAUGAUUGCAUCUAAUUUGCAUAUCACAAAUCUCUGCUUUUAAGUUGGGAAAUCUGUAGGGCUUUUGUCGCUACAAAUAAUGUAGCGCAGUACAGGGAUUGCAAUACAGUGGUUGCCGUAAGAGACCAGAUGACUACUUGCUCAAACUACUCCUGGUUUUUGUUUUUUUUUUUUCAACUGUUUUAAAGGAAAAUGUAUUAAAUUAGCUAUUCUCCACACUGCAUCAAGGAACAUAUUUCAUAAUAGCUUAAUUCAUAUUUAGACCCUGAACUUAAACAGUGAUUUUUUUAAAAUACUUAAACUGAUUUGUACUUGCUGGUUGAUCAGCACUUUAGGAAACGUAGCUACUUCCUUUUCUAUCCUAAAUGGAAACCGUUGACUUCUUCAAGAAAUCUCACCGUAUAAUUGUAUACUUUGAUUGCUAACAGAAGGCUGAAAAUCUGGGCUUGAAAUGGUAAAGUACAAAGCACGCAAUUUCGGUAAUAUUUGAAAGUCUGUUUUUCAAUUGGUCAUGCUUGAUUUCAUGUUCUUUGUUCUUAGCUAUUUAAAGUUUGCACAUAGGAUUGCGCUAUAGGAUACUGUAGCGACCUUAGAACAGUUAACAGUAGUUAUCCUCUAAAUCUAGACUGCUGUCCUUAUAGUAGAGGAGUGUGUCAUUAACCCAGGGCUAUGGUUUUAUCUCUGAAACUUUCUGCAUCCUUAGAUUUCCUGCUUCAUGGUACUGUCACAGUGCUAUACAUUUAAUGUGAUCACUAACUAGAAUAACACAAGUAAAAUGAAGACGUCCCAAACUGACUGACUGCUGUCAGCUUAUGGAGCCAUAUGUAUGGCUCCUUAUGGAUGCUGACUAAGAUUAGAGGUAGAUCUCCCUAAUAGCUAUUAUUUAUUCUUGAUUUCUUGUAAGCAA